GGUAAAAUAUACUGGCACCAGACAAAUGUAUGCUGCUAGAAACAUAAUUGAAUUGGCGGAUGGAGUCGGAAGCUGCUGUGAAUUGUUGUUGUUGAUCUUAAGAAUUCUUGGAAGCGAAGCAGUUUUGUUGGUCGGUACCAAUCCACGUUAUGAAGCUCCACUUUUGAAUACUCGUCUCCAUAAGGGUUAUGUACAUAAUGAACUCGAUAUUGCUCUGAUUGGAUCCAAAGUUGAACACUUAGGAAACGAGGCUAACCUGAUCACACAAACAAAACAGCUAGCCAGCUGAGGGCGCAGGAAGGAUUCAGAAUAACAUCAAGUUUAACAAUCGGCUUCGGAGAGUAGUAGUCACCAGCAGCAGAAAACUCAAGUUAUAAAGGCAUCCAAUUCGACUUAGAUCACAACUAGCAAGUGAAACUAUUUUGAAGGCGCAAUUAAAAGCUGGCUCAACUAUUACAUCACAACAACAACAACAAAAUAAAUAACCAACUGACAACACUGAAAAUCCGUUUCAUCACAUCAUCACCGUACAUCCAAAAAAAGUUUCUAGUACUAGCAGUGAAUCAUAUCUUACAACAUACCUAUCUCUAGGAAAUCGGUAUCGUACUCUAGAAUGUAUACAUCCAAAACAUUUGCUGUGUUCCUUUGGGCUCAGGAAAGUACUUUUUAAUACUUAAUCCAUUCAAAGAUAUUUUUUCUAUAGAAGAAAUGGAGUUGAAUACAACCAGAAGUACUUAUAGCAGUAGAUACUUAAGGCCAAAGGAACUCAGCUAUUAAGUAACUAAAUCGCGGGUCCCGAACAACAAAUUCAGGUGCAAGCCACGCUUUGAUGCGUUAAGUUUAAGCCACUUUUUAAGCGAAACUUGGUAAAUUCGUGUCAAGUUAGCGGAACAACACUCAAUUUGAAUGAAAACAGUGAGCGACAAAAUUGAAAAUGCCACAACUAAUUCGAGGGUCUCGAACGGCAAAUUUUGGUAUAAGCCACGCUUUGAUGCGUUAAGUUUAAGCCACUUUUUAAGCGAAAAUUGGUAAAUUUUUUUCAAAUUUGGAAAAUGUCAAAAAUUUGAAUGAAAACAGUUAGCGACAAAAUUGAAAAUGGCACAACUAAUUCGAGGGUCCCGAACGGCAAAUUUUGGUAUAAGCCACGCUUUGAUGCGUUAAGUUUAAGCCACUUUUUAAGCGAAAAUUGGUAAAUUUUUUUCAAAUUUGGAAAAUGUCAAAAAUUUGAAUGAAAACAGUUAGCGACAAAAUUGAAAAUGGCACAACUAAUUCGAGGGUCCCGAACGGCAAAUUCAGGUGUAAGCCACGCUUUGAUGCGUUAAGUUUAAGCCACUUUUUGGAGGGUGCCUCGCUAAGUUGACACGUCAAGUUAGCGAAACAACACACUUUUCAAUGAAAACAGUGAACGACAAAAUUGAAAUUGGUACAACUAAAUCGAGGCUCCCGAACAACAAAUUCAGGUGCAAGCCACGCUUUGAUGCGUUAAGUUUAAGCCACUUUUUAAGCGAAACUUGGUAAAUUCGUGUCAAGUUAGCGGAACAACACUCAAUUUGAAUGAAAACAGUGAGCGACAAAAUUGAAAAUGCCACAACUAAUUCGAGGGUCUCGAACGGCAAAUUUUGGUAUAAGCCACGCUUUGAUGCGUUAAGUUUAAGCCACUUUUUAAGCGAAAAUUGGUAAAUUUUUUUCAAAUUUGGAAAAUGUCAAAAAUUUGAAUGAAAACAGUUAGCGACAAAAUUGAAAAUGGCACAACUAAUUCGAGGGUCCCGAACGGCAAAUUCAGGUGUAAGCCACGCUUUGAUGCGUUAAGUUUAAGCCACUUUUUGGAGGGUGCCUCGCUAAGUUGACACGUCAAGUUAGCGAAACAACACACUUUUCAAUGAAAACAGUGAACGACGAAAUUGAAAUUGGUACAACUAAAUCGAGGGUCCCGAACAACAAAUUCAGGUGCAAGCCACGCUUUGAUGCGUUAAGUUUAAGCCACUUUUUAAGCGAAACUUGGUAAAUUCGUGUCAAGUUAGCGGAACAACACUCAAUUUGAAUGAAAACAGUGAGCGACAAAAUUGAAAAUGCCACAACUAAUUCGAGGGUCUCGAACGGCAAAUUUUGGUAUAAGCCACGCUUUGGUGCGUCAAGUUUAAGUCACUUUUUGAAGUAAAAAUUGGUAAAUUCAUGUCAAAUUGGGAAAAUGUCAAACAUUUGAAUGAAAACAGUGAACGACAAAAUUGAAAUUGGCACAACUAAUUCAAGGGUCUCAAAUGGCAAAUUUUGGUAUAAGCCACGCUUUGAUGCGUCAAGUUUAAGUCACUUUUUGAAGUAAAAAUUGGUAAAUUCAUGUCAAAUUGGGAAAAUGUCAAACAUUUGAAUGAAAACAGUGAACGACAAAAUUGAAAUUGGCACAACUAAUUCAAGGGUCUCAAAUGGCAAAUUUUGGUAUAAGCCACGCUUUGAUGCGUCAAGUUUAAGUCACUUUUUGAAGCAAAAAUUGGUAAAUUCAUGUCAAAUUGGGAAAAUGUCAAAAAUUUGAAAGAAAACAGUGAACGACAAAAUUGAAAUUGGCACAACUAAUUAACAACUAAUUAACGGCAAAUUCCCUCAUACUUAGUUUUCCAAAAAAAAAAUUGUUUAGAGAUGGUGUUUCGCUAGGUUGAUAUCAAGUUAGCGAAACAACAUAUUUUCCUAUGAAAUCAAUGAGCGACAAAAUCGAAAUUAUCACAACUAAUUAACGACUAAUUAACGGCAAAUUCCGGCAUACUCAAGUUUUCAAAAAGACCUUUUUUAAGAGUUGUUGUUUCGCUAAGUUGAUAUCAAGUUAGCGAAACAUCAAAAAUAUAUAUGAAAACAAUGAACGACAAAAUCAAAAUUACCACAACUAAUUAACGACUAAAUAACGGCAAAUUAUGCACCUAGUCCCGUUUGGAUCAGUGAUGGGUGUUUCGCUAAGUUGACACUCAUAA